AAAAAGAACCUAAAUGCCCUAACAGCACCAGAUCCCCAAUAAUCUUAGAAGCUAAGCAGGAUCAGUCCUGGUUUGUACUUGAAUGGGAAACCACGAGCAAAUACCAGGUGCUGUACGCU
rnacentral:rRNA from 1 species